GGAGCUGGGCAUGCAGAGCAGCGCCCCAAGAGCCUUCUCCCCUGCUUACAGGGGGCUGGGGCCGCUGCCCAAACUGCAGAAGGCCCGGGGCCCCAGGGCACUAGCCACUCCCUGAGUUACAGGGCAGCCCGGGGCCCCGCGCACGAGGAGGCUCCUUUUCUCCCAUGCAGGGGCACGCUGACCUGGGCCCCGCUAACGGGCUGGUCGCCCCAAACAAGCUGCCAGCUGAGCACAACGGCUCCGGACCCGGGCCCCGAUUACAGGCAGGUCCACGACACCCAGGCAGACAGGGAGCUCAGCCUUCCCCCACAGCCACAGGAAUGACUCUCAGCAGCCAGGCAGCGGAGCACGCUGGCCACAGGCCCGCACCCCAGCCCCGACUACAGGCAGGGUCCAGCCAGCCCGGCCCCACGCCUCUGAAAGGCGGCGGCCCCAGACACCCACCUCCUUGCAGGGGGUCGCUCCGAGCACCUGCCGCAGAGCGCAGCGCAGGGGACGCGCACAACCCUGCUUACAGGGCCGUCCCCACAACGCUCCGCGCCACCCACCAGCCCCACAAAGCUGGGGGCUCUGACCUACGCCCGAGCUACGGGCUGGCCAUCCUGGCUGCAGCACAACAGCGUGUCUUCCGGAGCCCGGGGGGACCUCAAGCCCAGCUGCGGGCAGCCCCCCCCCCAAAAAAAGGAGCACCGGAGCCCAGACGGCACCCUCCGGCACUGCACUUCCUCCGCCUGCCCCCUUACAGGGCCUCGGAGGGGUCAUUCCUGGUGGCUGGCUAAAGCAGCAGGCCGCAGGAGGGCACGAUCCCUCCACCUGCCUUACAGGCGGGCCAAGCUGCUCCGGGUGACAAAGGGCUCCGCAGCUCCUGACGCGCACCCUGACUGCGGGGCGGUCACGCUGGCCACGCUGCCAGCAGGACAGGCAGCCACGCGGGCAGAGACCUGGGCCCCGACUACGGGCAGGUCCCAUUGCCCACGCUAGCACCAAGUGGCUUGGCUCUGCCCGAGCAAGCAAGGGGCAAGCCGGAGCUCUCCCCCUCCUCAAAUCUGGGGCUCAGGGAGGACCCUCCGUCGCUGCACUGAGCUCUUCUUUCAGGCCUGGGAAGCUGAAGCUAGUACGCUGCAGCGCUUUGUACAGAGGCCUAAAGGACAAGCACACUCGCUCGCUCACGCGCUCCAACAAGGACAGAGGACAAGAAGAAAGACACAAAGACAGGAGACAAGGACAAGGACAAACAUGACUUUCCAGGAGGGAAAGAGAGCCCAGGGCAGCCAAUGUCAGGGGACCAAGCCGUACCCAGGAGCGGGAGGAGAGGCUCCGACCUGCCCCCAACGCUGCAGGCAGGCCACAGCCCUCAACGUGCCAAGGGGCUUCUCGUGGUGCCAAAGGGCAAACGCUGUGACACACCCCGACGACAGGGGGUCACGCUGGCCACGCUGCCAGCGGGCGGAAAGCCGCGGGGGGCAAGGGCCCUCCCCUGCUUACAGGGCGGGCAUGGGUUCCAGCGAGCUCCCUUUCCCCCUCAGGUGCGGAGGAAGCGACUACUCCCACCCUCCUUACAGGGUCGUCACUCUCUCCAGGCAGCCAAAGGAGCAACGUGGCAAAAGCCAAACUACAGCAAAGACCCGAGCCCUGCUUACAGGGAGGUCGCCCAGCGCAAAGCGAGCAAGGCCACCAAAGGUGCCAGCCAUGCUCUCACGGGACCGCAGCCCUGCUUCCAGGGCCCGCCCUUUGCCCAGAGUGCCUUUCUCUUUCCCCCUCUUCCUCCUCACUCUUGAC
ensembl:lncRNA